rnacentral:tRNA from 2 species
GCGGUAGUAGCUCAAUUGGUAGAGCAUCGCGUUGCCAUCGCGAAGGUUGCGAGUUCGAGUCUCGUCUACCGCUCCA